UCGAGAGGCUUUGGCAAUGGGGGAAACCCUGACCAAGCGACGCCGCGUGGGGGAUGAAGGCUCUUGGGUUGUAAACCCCUUUUGUCGGGGAAGAAAUCCGAUCAGGUGAACAAUCUGGUCGAUUGACGGUACCCGACGAAUAAGCUCCGGCUAACUCCGUGCCAGCAGCCGCGGUAACACGGGGGGAGCAAGCGUUGUUCGGAAUCACUGGGCGUAAAGGGCGUGUAGGCGGCUCGGUAAGUGGAAUGUGAAAUGCCCCGGCUCACCCGGGGACCUGCAUCCCAAACUGCCGGGCUUGAGUAUGGGAGAGGAUGAGGGAAUUCCUGGUGUAGCGGUGAAAUGCGUAGAUAUCAGGAGGAACACCGGUGGCGAAGGCGCUCAUCUGGCCCAAUACUGACGCUGAGGCGCGAAAGCUAGGGGAGCAAACGGGAUUAGAUACCCAAGUAGUCCCUGAGCGGGCUGGCAAGGCGCAU
rnacentral:rRNA from 1 species